rnacentral:rRNA from 1 species
AGCGUAGACGGUGUGGCAAGUCUGAUGUGAAAGGCAUGGGCUCAACCUGUGGACUGCAUUGGAAACUGUCAUACUUGAGUGCCGGAGGGGUAAGCGGAAUUCCUAGUGUAGCGGUGAAAUGCGUAGAUAUUAGGAGGAACACCAGUUGCGAAGGCGGCUUACUGGACGGUAACUGACGUUGAGGCUCGAAAGCGUGGGAGCAAACA